CUGAGAACUACAGUCUGCAGGCAUCAGAGUGACAGCUGCAAUGCUCCCCAAACUGUCCUGCCAGCCAAUGCAUGGAACUGCCUAGACACUUCCAUGAAAGGAAAUAUUUUCCAUCUGUUUCCUUAAACAGUUGCACUGAAGCACCUAAUCUGGUAGUUAGAAGAAAUGAAACAUAGAGGGAACUAUAUUGAAAUCAAGAAGAAACUGACAUUCCUGCAGAUAAGCUCUAGUUAUGUAAAAUCUUAGAUUAUUCAUAUUUCAUUUUCUCAGGAACAGAGCAGUAGGAAAGUCUAUACUGGAAAGAAUGGUGAUACUCCUGAUGGAGGAAGAUGGGGAUGGCACUGGAUUCCAUGACAGAAGGAAAGAAAGCAGGAAGUAACUCCCCAGUUUGCUUGAUUUUUACCUGAUGAUUUACAAGGUCGCAGAUGAAGACACUGAACAUGACCAGACCCACUACUGACCUCCGGGGAACACAGUUAAGGACCUCCUGUUCUGUCAUAUGUCGACCUUCACCUAUACCUUCAUUAUCCACUGGGGAGCUGUAUCAUCAUGUCUGCACAAUGAGGCCAGUGGUGCUAAUCUACUGCAGUAGAAAUGAUGGGUGGCCUUUCCAGCUUGGAUCACAGUCAUUCAGUCAGGUUCUUCCUGAGGUAUCCUCGUCAGCAAUACAGAACAUGACAUUGAGGAAAGAGAAGAAAGGGCAGUCUCGCUGCUCUCCCUCGUUCUAUGCCAGAUUCCAGCUGAACCCAGAAUGGAGCCAUCAUAAUUAAGGGGAUGAAGAUCUAAGACAUAUUUUACUUGCAUUUCCAAUGAGCGUACCUAUAGAAAUUGUAAACAAUUAUUAAAAAUAGGUUAUUCAUAGAUUUUGGAUCUGGCUAUGAAAUAUAAAUAUUCCUUCACCCACACAACUCUGAAAUAACCAAAUGAAAUUUGUAAUGGAAAUAUGAUUUAUCAGGAACUUGUGACUUUCUCAGAGAUAGUCUUCCAAUCUACGCUUGAAUCUAUAUUUUUCCCAUCUUCUGUAUCUUCUAUAUACAAAAUUUCAGAGAAAAAUCAGUUUCUCCCUUUUUUUUUUUUUUUUUUUUUUUUCCCCACCUAGGACAUGAGUGAAAAAAAGAAAUAGAGAAGAGACACUUCCUAGUAACUUCAGAAUGGGCCAGUGAUUUGGAUUAUCACAAGUCUGCACCAAGGCAGAUAAGUACCAGUUACUUUAUACGUGGCAGAACAUCCCCAGAAGGAGAGAUCUGCCCCCCUCUCUGAAGAGUAUUCUCACAAAAGGUAGACCUAGAAAGCUUAAUAUCUGUGAAGUAGUAAGAGAACUUGAAAAUCAUUUUCCCAGUGCACCUAUUUGUGGUGGCUAAGGUCAAAUUUGAGGCAUGUUGAUGAGUUGGCAUUCUCCGGCAGUGUCUCACUCUUGAUAUUUAUGUGCAUUCUUCUAUACAUAUACAAAUAACUAGAAAAUAGAUGAAGCAUAGGUAAAACUGACACUAGGUCUUUCUGCAUCUCUGGCUAACCUGGUCCUCUAUCUUGCUGAUAAUAAAUGGAGUAAGCCUAUAGGUUUCUGGUGAACA
ensembl:lncRNA